AGGAUUUGAAAUUUCUGAAAACCAGAAGAGGCAGGCUGCAAUGACUGUGAGAAAAGUCCCUAAACAAAAAGGUGUCAACUCGGCGCGCUCAGUUCCUCCUUCUUACCCACCACCACAGGACCCGUUAAACCAGGGCCAGUACCUGGUCCCCGAUGGCAUUGCUCAGUCGCAGGUCUUUGAGUUCACCGAACCCAAGCGCAGCCAGUCACCAUUCUGGCAAAACUUCAGCAGGUUAACCCCCUUCAAAAAAUAAUACCUACAAGGAGGCAGAUAAUUUUAAAAUAAAGUAAAUAAAACUAUAUUUAUAGAUGGACCUUUUUUCGAAGCAGCACUGUUGAAAUUUAUAUAUAGAGAGAGAGACAGACAGACAUACACACACAUAGACCCUUGACUAAACACACACACACACACACACACACACACACACACACACACACACACCCCACACACACACCCACACACACACACCCAAAACCGUUUUUUGUUGUUUUGGGGAAGUGAAAUAUAUAGUUGGUAGUAAGAGGUACCAAUGACUUUGAAACAUGCAGAGUAAUACACCUUCUUAAAAGUUUCCAGUUCCUACCCUGUUCUCCUCCCAUUUUCUUUCAGAAAUUGAAAUUUCUAUUUGUUUCUUUUCUUAUUGCAAUAAUCUCUUUGCUCCCCUGUGAGUGAUUCAUUGACUUGUCAUUAUUACCAUAGAUGCGUUUGUACUGGUUUUUUUCUUUCAUGAUGAUACUCAUGCUGAGGACUUUUGAAUUUAGUUUGAUGUGGUGGGGUUUGGGAGGUUUUUUUUCCCUCUUUCAUUUUUCACUGAAGCAGGAGAGGAUUUCCUUUCUCCUCCCCCUCAGCCAACCAUCUGCGAAUGUUCCUACAGCCCUGCAGUUGCCCCAAACAGCCUUUUUCCAGCAUCCUCUGUCCUCAGUCCUGCCACUCUGGACAUGCUCUGUUGUGCCCUGUGACAUAAUUGCUUGGUAUUUCUAUUGCUUUCACUGUGUUUUAGGUGUUGUGGAGGGACCAACAAACAAGCGAGGGAGUGUCAGAGUAUAAUGAUAGAGCAGACUUCAGUUCAGGGAAUAUUCUGCAUUUGAGCUGUUUCUUCUAGCACUGGGGGUUCCCAUGUUUGCAGCACUGCUGGGUCGUUGCAGUUUUGCAUCUGAGGGUUAGUUUUGGGCCAAUUAUUCUUUUUCAAGCCGUUUUUGUUAUGGAUCUCCUCUUAGGCCUGUCCCUUCCUUGGCCCAAAAGAAGAUCUGAACUGUCAGCAAAGAGGUUGAGACUCUGCCUCCUUGGAGAGAGAUUUAUCUGCCCCCCCAGUAAAAAAUAGGUUUAAUGUGGGGCUCCCUAGAGCAAUCAGUUCAGCAUCCUGUUUUUCCUGCUCCCAUUUGCAGAUUUUUUAAGGCAGCAUUGAUAGGAGUCUAUGGAGAGGUUCAAGGCAGAACCCAUCUGACCAAGAUCAUCAGCUGCCUUUAAAUUAUUGACUUGAAAAAGGUCCAAGGCUAACAGUAACCUUUUAAAGGAAAGAAUAGGGACAGGCAUAGAAAUAGAUAUCCUUGAUCCAAGAUAUUGUACCUGCAAAUCCUACCACCCCAAUUGUGUGAGACUUCCACCAUUGUUAGUAGAUUGCAUGGACAAUCUUCUCUGGCUCCUUCCUUCUCUCCCUGUCUUCCUUCUUUCUCCUGCCCUCCUGGCGCAGGAGGAUUGUUGGUGUUGGCAUAGUUAAAGCAUUUCUGGCAUUCAAAGAAGCCAUGUUUCCAACAUCCUCCUAACCCAGGACAUUUAAAGCAAGUGAGUGAAGGGCACAGGGGCACUUUUCUCUCUGGACAAAGGGUCUGAGGGGGAGAUGCUACCCUCGGGCUCAUUUUUGUGAGGCUUUCCACUUCAGCAAAACUAACUUAUUCUACAAAGAGGCAGGCUCCCUAUAGGUAUAGGAGUGCCUGUUUCUUCUCCUCACAUGGCCCCUUGCCUAGAUAGAUAGAUAGACCUUGAACAACAAGGCAAGGAGAAUGGGAUAUAAAGGAAUUAGGAUGAGCCCUGCUGUGGAGAGCCACUCUAGUGAAGAAUCUGCAGAUUGUGAGUCUGUCCUGGACCCCAUGGGAGAAGACUUCAUCACAAAAAGACCUCAGCUUACCAAGAAGCAGCCAUGGCUGCAUGGAGGCUUCAGCAUAGUUGGCUCAGUUACUGCUCUGUGCCUCCUGACCCAGACCAGGUCCUGCCCAGCCUGGGAAUCUUUCCACUAUGGAAUCAAAUUACAAAUUGUUUAAGCUUUUAUUCUACAAUAGGCAAGUCAGACUCGUAGAGUAAGUCAAGGAUGAGCCUUAUCUAGGCAGAGGACCAGGGCUUGGGACUGGUCACCACUGCUCAGCACAUGAUUUAGCUACUUAAGCACCCUUGGUAAGGGACAUGGUACCAAGCACCCAGGCUAAAAUAUCCUCCCUGGCAAACAGAGUGUGUGUCAGGAGCUGUGCAGGCCUCCUUUUAGUGUACUUCUUCUAGUUCCUAUUUUCCAUUCCUCCUCAGUAGGCUUGGCCUUGAUGUGCUUCUUCUGGAGUUGGGAACACACAAGGAGGAGAUGUUUGGACAAGUCCCUGGGCCUACACCUCUUGGCUAGACCCUAUCAUCCCCACCUCCCUGGAGCCCAUCCCAGGCAUUCAGAAUCAGGGAUAUCACCUCUCACCUCCUACUUCUUCACCCAACUCACUGGUCUCACCAGAUGCCAGUAAUUUGUGAAAACAACAAGAAAUAAGCUCUCCGUUAGUUGGAGUAUACCCCCAGUCUAUGGGAGCAGGGCAGACCAGUGGCCAAUAAUCCCAGUUAAUUGGGGAGCUCAAUUAAUUACCAGGGCUCAGUGUCCAAACCUAUUGUGUCCCCACAGCAAUGCUAUCCACAAGAACUCUGUAAUUUUCCUCUAUUUCUGCAUGGCCCCAAGCUCCCCUCAACUCAAUGAGGCCUGGUUUUGUUCUCCAAAAGGCUUUGCUGAUGUGUUCUAUGGGCCCUGCUGUGGGGAGGUGAUAACUCAGAAAUCCAACUCCUCUUUCUAUCUCCCUCUCCUCCUUUCUCUCUCUGUGUCUCUCUCUAAUGGAUCUAUAAGGACAGCAAUAAGAGAGUUCUAACAGAUCUAAUGUGAAGCCAAAUAGAAUCUUUUAGUGCUAUGGGGAUGGGGUGGGCUGGGGUGGAUGGAUGGGCAACAGUGAUUUUGAUUACCCCUGCUACUCUGCAUUUGCCAGUUUAUUCUUUUGUUUCUUCUGACUGACUCUGUCAAAGUGUCAAAGUUGUAUGUUUAAAAAUGCUUAAAGAAAAAAGAUGUUGUAAUGACACAAAGCCUUAUGAAGAUAUUUAUGGAGUUCAAUAAAAGAAGUAAAAGAACACCUUUA